UCAAGAACCGUGAGCAGGACUGAAGUAAAGCAAGUCACAGGAAAAUACCCUCAAUGUCAGUGCAGGAUGUUACAUAGCUUUCAUGGCACGUCAAAAUUGGUUUGAAUCUCAAAAUUCUGACCCCUCAACUUGGAGUCAAAAUGCUCAAGUCAAAUGGGUCUUCCUGUGCCUUUCCACAGGACAGCCUGUGUUGUGGAAAUGGAAGAAGGCAUAUUUAUGGAAGAAGCUGACAUCUGCAAGAGCCUUGGGUCAGAUGGAACCUUGCAUAAAAAGAGAAAAUAAGCAAAAUUUAUUGGAAAGGAAACCAGGUCUUUUACUGCUUUUAGCUUGGUCCCUGCUUCCAUUUCCCUCCUACUUGAGAUGCUUUGCAAAAAUAUGGGCAACUCCAUGAAAUCUGAGGCAACCCUGUGCUGGUAACCUAAACCAGUGGGAGGCUGAAGGUAAUUAUUCCAUGGCCUUAGAAUGCAAAAAUCUGCGUUCAUCGACUCUUUGCUCUCACACGAUGCUCAUCUUGGUUAUCCUCCAGUCCAUCCGAUUGUGAAACGUGGAAGAAUCAGCUUAGAAGGGAGCCUGAGUUGAAAGGCUCCAUGUAAAUGAAAAUUUAAUUAUUAUGAAACCACCUCAAAGAGUACACCCUCAUUUCACCUGUCCUAUUUUGCCUGUACCUCAGCCUGAGAAAGCUGGCAGAAUGAAGAGCACUUGUUGGGGGAAUACAGGAUUUGGGCUGAGGGCCCUGCUGAGUGCCAGGCAGCAUGUACUCACAGUAAGCGUGCCAGCCAGACCUCCACACAUCCUGUAUCCAGUGCUGACCUUUCCUGUCAUUCCUCCCUCCUUGCGAGCAAAGGCCACGUGCUUUCAGCUUCUUAAAAGCUGUUCCUGCUUCUGCUCACAGCCACAAUAUGUGGUGGGGGGAGUAAACAAGAAAAGGAUGUGGCUGGCAGAUUUGUAGUUUGGAAGGGUACAGGAAAGUGGGAUGCCUUGAUUUCCUUUGCAUUGCCAAAAAACUGAAAAUCCCCAAGUUUAAGCCUCCUCAGCUUUAGGCUUUAGCCACUCUUUUCUUUUCUUUUCUUUUCUUUUCUUUUCUUUUCUUUUCUUUUCUUUUCUUUUCUUUUCUUUUCUUUUCU